UGGGGAAUAUUGGACAAUGGGCGAAAGCCUGAUCCAGCCAUGCCGCGUGUGUGAAGAAGGUCUUCGGCUUGUAAAGCACUUUAAGUUGGGAGGAAGGACAUUAACCUAAUACGUUAGUGUUUUGACGUUACCGACAGAAUAAGCACCGGCUAACUCUGUGCCAGCAGCCGCGGUAAUACAGAGGGUGCAAGCGUUAAUCGGAAUUACUGGGCGUAAAGCGCGCGUAGGUGGUUUGUUAAGUUGGAUGUGAAAUCCCCGGGCUCAACCUGGGAACUGCAUUCAAAACUGACUGACUAGAGUAUGGUAGAGGGUGGUGGAAUUUCCUGUGUAGCGGUGAAAUGCGUAGAUAUAGGAAGGAACACCAGUGGCGAAGGCGACCACCUGGACUAAUACUGACACUGAGGUGCGAAAGCGUGGGGAGCAAACA
rnacentral:rRNA from 1 species